rnacentral:sRNA from 1 species
AAGAAAAAAACCGAAAACAAAGAGGGAUGCAACACGAAGACUUUCCUGGAGGUCACCCAUCCUAGUACUACUCUCGCCCAAGCACACUUAACUGCGGUGUUCUGAUAGGAUCAAGUGCAUUAGUGCUGGUAUGAUCGCAUCAGUUACUACAUGCAAUGCAAUCAUAUAUAUUCUUUUUUGAAGACUUUAUGAUCCAUUUGCCGUAGGUCCCACCAGCUAUGUAGGAAUACCCUAUCUCGUUUAUAAGAGCUUUGAUACAUGCAAAAUAUUCGAAAACAAUGUCCGAACAUAUAAUUUUUGUCCCGUAAUAUAGCAAAGAUCGCGAAAAGGCCAUAAAAAAUACAUUUCGGUCAAAAUUUGGAGUAGAAAAAAAACCCUUCCUCAUUCAUUGGACAGCUCUCUUUGGGCUUUCCGAAAAGGUAUCACAUGCCAAGUUUGGCCUCACGGUCUAAACCUUAUAGACUCAUACAUUUUUCACAAAAAAAAGAAGAGAAAAACCAAAAAAAAGAGUGAUUAAACACGAGGACUUUCCUGGAGGUCACCCAUCCUAGUACUACUCUCGCCCAAGCACGCUUAACUGCGAAGUUCUGAUGGGAUCUGGUGCAUUAGUGCUGGUAUGAUCGCAUCUGUUACUACAUGCAAUGCAAUCGUAUUUAUUCUUUUUUGAAGAUUUUAUGAUUCAUUUACCGUGGGUCCCACCAGCUAUGUAGGAAUAACCUAUCUUAUUUAUAAAAGCUUUGAUACAUGCAAAAUAUUAGAAAACAAUGUCCGAACAUAUAAUGUUCGCCCCAAAAUAUAGCAAAGACCACAAAAAUGCCAUAAAAAGUACAUUAAGGUCAAAAUUUGGAGUAGGAAAAAAAUCAAUAGGAGAAUUCCAUUUUCCUUCCUUCAUUCAUCGGAGAGCUCUCUUUGGGCAUUCCAAAAAGGUAUCACAUGCCAAGUUUGGCCUCACGGUCUAAAAGUUAUAGAGUAAUACAUUUUUAACAAAAAAA